ACGCCCUUCUUAAAUUAACACCCUGUUUGAAACUAGAUUCUCAGCCCUAGACGUUAUUCAUCGAAUUUUGAUGGACUGGCGUGCUCAGAAUUUACUGUAUCAUAUUUACAUUUGUUUCUGCAGGCUUCAGGUACACUAUGUUAUUAUCUGAACUCUGCGUAAAAUUCGGUUUGCCCGAUCGAAAUACUCCAUAUACCUAUGAGGACAUUGACGUAGUUGUCGCCGUCAAAUGGAAAAGAAAUAAAAAAAGAUUUAGCUCUAAUUGAAGACUGGAACUAGCGAUGUCGAAAAAGUUGUUUCUCAUGCAUAUUGUAACCAUGGAAAUAAACAUGCCAUGAGAAUAUAUGCAGUGCAGAUGUUUUUGGCAAAUUAUUUAUGUUAAGUGAAUAAAAAAACGAAACGUUGGGAAACUGUGAAGAAACGCGUUGUUUACAAAAUAUGUGAUAUUUUCUAACUUUGAUAAACAGAGAAGACAACAUUUAUUUCAAGUUUGCUGCCAAAAUAUAAUAAAAAAAAAUCACACGAAAAAAAGAAGCAUUUAACAUUUUAGAUCAAAAGUUAAAUUACUGAAAACAUAAUUGCGUGGCUUGAACUUUUAUGAACUGUACUUUUGAAGAAAUUGUCAGAAUUUAUGAAAAAAUGGACAAAUAUAGAGAAAGCAAACAGCUUUGAAUUUUUGAACGCUUUUUAGAUACACAUGAACCGGAGUUGCAUUGAACAGGACGAUAACUGAUCCAAAAUCGGAUAAUAUUCAGUUUUGUCAUGAACCCGAUCAACACUGGGUUACUGAAUGUGACGUCAUCAAAAAGACGAAAGCCACCGGGCGGUACAUCUAGCAAAUACACCGCAGAAACUAGCGCUCUAAAACCUCAACCAAAAAUAAAAAACAAGAAAAAACCGAGCGAAGGAAAGUGCACAAUUUUGUAAAUUGUAAAAAAAUAACAAAUAUUGUACAAUGUUUAAUGUUCAUUUAAAUAACACUUUUUUGUGAAAUAAACACACUUGCACAAACGCUAGAAAUAAUUUAAAAA